UAAACACGACACUACAAAAGGGUGGUAGCUGUCAAAAUCACCACGUGAUCGUUACACCAGGGAAUGAGUCGGAAAAUGAGCGCUCACGGAUAAUUGGCGUCCGGAAUGAAUUUGUGAUUCCGUAACGCGAUAUUUUGAUGAGCUGCCCUGACGUUGACGUUGUUACGGAAUAUUUGAUCAGGCCUUCUUGUGUGUUAUGUAUUCUAUGCCCAUGUUAAUUAAAUAUACAUACCUAGCUUUCCUGAUAUUAUUAGAUUACGAAAAUAUGACUAUCUAAAUGUAUUGUUCACUAGUUGACCAUAAGU